rnacentral:rRNA from 1 species
GGAGUUAGCCGGUGCUUCUUCUGCGAGUAACGUCACAGAUGUAAGGUAUUAACUUACACCCUUUCCUCCUCGCUGAAAGUGCUUUACAACCCGAAGGCCUUCUUCACACACGCGGCAUGGCUGCAUCAGGGUUUCCCCCAUUGUGCAAUAUUCCCCACUGCUGCCUCCCGUAGGAGUCUGGGCCGUGUCUCAGUCCCAGUGUGGCUGAUCAUCCUCUCAGACCAGCUAGGGAUCGUCGCCUAGGUGAGCCUUUACCUCACCUACUAGCUAAUCCCACCUGGGCUUAUCCAUCAGCGCAAGGCCCGAAGGUCCCCUGCUUUCCCCCGUAGGGCGUAUGCGGUAUUAGCAGUCGUUUCCAACUGUUAUCCCCCACAACUGGGCAAAUUCCCAGGCAUUACUCACCCGUCCGCCGCUCGUCAUCUUCAAAGCAAGCUUUUGAAUGUUACCGCUCGACUUGCAUGUGUUAGGCCUGCCGCCAGCGUUCAAUCUGAGCCAGACUCAACUCUGA